UACGGGGGGGGCAAGCGUUGUUCGGAAUUACUGGGCGUAAAGGGCUCGUAGGUGGCCAACUAAGUCAGACGUGAAAUCCCUCGGCUUAACCGGGGAACUGCGUCUGAUACUGGAUGGCUUGAGUUUGGGAGAGGGAUGCGGAAUUCCAGGUGUAGCGGUGAAAUGCGUAGAUAUCUGGAGGAACACCGGUGGCGAAGGCGGCAUCCUGGACCAACACUGACACUGAGGAGCGAAAGCCAGGGG
rnacentral:rRNA from 1 species